rnacentral:rRNA from 1 species
CCCCACUGCUAUCGGGAUGGGACUAAGACAUGCUAGUUGUGCGUCUCUAAGCCAUGGUGAGACGCAGCGCACAGCUCAGUAACACGUGGCUAACCUGCCCUUGGGACGGGGACAACCCCGGGAAACUGGGGCUAACAUCUGAUAGGUGAGGAGGCCUGGAAUGGUUCCUCCCUGAAAAGGCGUUGAAACCAUGCUUUUCAGCGUCGCCUAAGGAUGGGGCCGCGCCCGAUCAGGUUGUUGGUGGGGUAACGGCUCACCAAGCCAUUAACCGGUACGGGCCGUGAGAGCGGGAGCCCGGAGAUGGGCACUGAGACAAGGGCCCAGGCCCUACGGGGCGCAGCAGUCGCGAAAACUCCGCAAUGCGCGAAAGCGUGACGGGGCUACCCCGAGUGCCGUCCGCUGAGGAUGGCUUUUCCCCGGUGUAAUGAGCCGGGGGAAUAAGGAGAGGGCAAGACUGGUGUCAGCCGCCGCGGUAAUACCAGCUCUCCGAGUGGUAGGGACAAUUAUUGGGCUUAAAGCGUCCGUAGCCGGCUUGGCAAGUCUUCUGUUAAAUUCAGCGACUUAAUCGUUGAGCCGCGGGAGAUACUACUAGGCUAGGAGGCGGGAGAGGCCGACGGUAUUCCCGGGGUAGGGGUGAAAUCCUAUAAUCCCGGGAGGACCACCAGUGGCGAAGGCUGUCGGCUAGAACGCGCUCGACGGUGAGGGACGAAAGCUGGGGGAGCGAACCGGAUUAGAUACCCGGGUAGUCCCAGCCGUAAACGAUGCGGGCUAGGUGUUGAGGUGGCUACGAGCCACUUCAGUGCCGCAGGGAAGCCAUUAAGCCCGCCGCCUGGGGAGUACGGCCGCAAGGCUGAAACUUAAAGGAAUUGGCGGGGGAGCACCACAAGGCGUGAAGCUUGCGGUUCA